UUCUGACAAACAAAAACAGCGGAUCGACCGGUAGCGUUGCUUCGUAAAUUAAUAAAAAUGCCUUUUAUAUUUUCAAUUGCUUGCUUUGAAGCAAAACGACGGCAGAAAGUGCGCGAUUUACGAAGAUCAAGACAUCUUAGAUGCAACACCAGCGUACUUAGCAUGUCUGACGAACGGUUUGUGAAGUCAUUUCGGGUCGACAAACAUACUUUCAAAAUGAUUUUGGAGAAAGUUAAGCCGCAUCUGCGUGUUCAACAUUAUCACACUCUACGCAAUUGGCUGCAGUAAUGCGAUACCUCGCCACUGUCUGCCACCAGUGGGCGGUGGCUAAGGACCACCAUAUAAAUGUUGGAAGAAGUACAUUUGGAAA